AGCAGCCUUGUCAAAUUCAGUACUGUCCUUGUCUAUGGUAGGUACUGGCCUAGCUGGCUGCCACAGCAGCAUCUGUAGUUCAUGGGCCCCAUGUCUCUAUUACUGGACCCUGGGGAUAAAAGAAUGCUACAAACACCC
rnacentral:snoRNA from 1 species